CACCUGCCGCGCUGCAGCCUCCCCUCCAUGCGGUGCUCCUCUUCUUCACAGGCGCAGACUGAGGCCUGAAGAAUGCGGCAUCCGACCCUCGGCUGUGUGACGUCACAGGGGCAGGACCUCGGCUAGAAAGCACGGCUGGGGCAGGAGAAGGAAGAAGAGGAAUGUGUUUUGUCUGGGAGCAGAAGGUGCCCCUGUGUUCCUCCCUCGCCCCACGACAAUCCUACAGGUUGAGAAACACCCCACUUUCUAGAAAAGCCGGGAGGAACGG
rnacentral:lncRNA from 1 species